rnacentral:rRNA from 1 species
GAAAGUUACGCUAAUACCGCAUACGAUCCAAGGAUGAAAGCAGGGGAUCUUCGGACCUUGUGCUCCUGGAGCGGCCGAUAUCUGAUUAGCUAGUUGGUGAGGUAAAGGCUCACCAAGGCCACGAUCAGUAGCUGGUCUGAGAGGACGACCAGCCACACUGGAACUGAGACACGGUCCAGACUCCUACGGGAGGCAGCAGUGGGGAAUUUUGGACAAUGGGCGAAAGCCUGAUCCAGCAAUGCCGCGUGAGUGAAGAAGGCCUUCGGGUUGUAAAGCUCUUUUGUCAGGGAAGAAACGGUUCGGGCUAAUAUCCUGAGCUAAUGACGGUACCUGAAGAAUAAGCACCGGCUAACUACGUGCCAGCAGCCGCGGUAAUACGUAGGGUGCAAGCGUUAAUCGGAAUUACUGGGCGUAAAGCGUGCGCAGGCGGUUUUGUAAGUCUGACGUGAAAUCCCCGGGCUCAACCUGGGAAUUGCGUUGGAGACUGCAAGGCUAGAAUCUGGCAGAGGGGGGUAGAAUUCCACGUGUAGCAGUGAAAUGCGUAGAGAUGUGGAGGAACACCGAUGGCGAAGGCAGCCCCCUGGGUCAAGAUUGACGCUCAUGCACGAAAGCGUGGGGAGCAAACAGGAUUAGAUACCCUGGUAGUCCACGCCCUAAACGAUGUCUACUAGUUGUCGGGUUUUAAUUAACUUGGUAACGCAGCUAACGCGUGAAGUAGACCGCCUGGGGAGUACGGUCGCAAGAUUAAAACUCAAAGGAAUUGACGGGGACCCGCACAAGCGGUGGAUGAUGUGGAUUAAUUCGAUGCAACGCGAAAAACCUUACCUACCCUUGACAUG